AUAAUUUAUAGCUAUACAUGUCCAUGAGCUGGUAACAAGUUGUUGCUUUUAUUUGCUCAUUUCUAAUACCUAAUAUAUUCAAAUUCUGAGACUGGAUUUCUUAAAAACAUCUCUUCUGUGAAUAAAAUGCAAAGAUAACAACAAUAUGCUGUAUUAUUGGAAAAGAACAUUUCAAAUCUAAGUCACAGACAAUGUCUCUCUGAUGGACAGACAUUGGGAUGGAAAAUAGAGAGUGCCACUGUAAAUUUGUGCAUCUUUCUAUUCCGACCCCAGGUCAGUUCAGAACCAAUCUGAGCCCAAAGAUGGCAUGCUUCCUUCCUGUGCCCUGUCCCCUGGCAACAGAAACCCUGCAUGGUUCUGAAAAGAGGACAUGAGCCUGGGAAACUCUUUUUAGGAGAGCGGACGGGAGGCUCAAAGCACAGCGGGAACGGAAUGUGCAAAACGGAGGAUUCCUGCUCCAUAACCGGAUGCUACGUGCUUCCACUACACUGAUGCAAAUUACCUUCCUGUCCGAUGACUAACCGUGCCUAACAGUAGCCAUUAUUCUUUUCCACUCUGCAUGUUUGGAACAGGCAACAAACAGGUGCAGCAGCUCCAGGAAAGGGUCAACGCCUGUCAAACACUCCAAAGUAGGAUUAUGGCCGAAGGGUCAAGGCGUCAAGAGCCCAGUGACAACUGGGCACCUCUGCAGGGAUUUCCAGGUAGAUCCCAGUUUUACCUGUCAGUG